rnacentral:tRNA from 1 species
CAAAAAAUAGUUUAAUAAAAAUAUUAAUUUUGGAAAUUAAAGAUAAUUUAAAAUAAUUUUUUUUGA